rnacentral:rRNA from 1 species
CAGAAUCCUCAAGCAAAGAGAUCUUUAGUUUGAAACCCCGAAACCAGGUGAGCUACCCCGAGACAGCCUACAUAGGGCCAACCCGUCUCUGUGGCAAAAGAGUGGGAAGAGCUCCGGGUAGAGGUGACAGACCUACCGAACCUGGUGAUAGCUGGUUGCCUAAGAAAUGGAUAGAAGUUCAGCCUCGUACAUCCCCCAGUCAAGCAAGUAAAAUCUAAACUAGAUACAGGGAAAGACACGAGAGUUAGUUAAAGGGGGUACAGCCCCUUUAACCCAGGAUACAACCUUUACAGGUGGAUAAGGAUCAUAUUUUCCAAAACUAACCGUCUUAGUGG